rnacentral:rRNA from 1 species
GAUGAACGCUGGCGGCGUGCCUAACACAUGCAAGUCGAACGGAGUUACUUUGGUGAAGUUUUCGGAUGGAUCUGAUUUAACUUAGUGGCGGACGGGUGAGUAAUGCGUGAGCAACCUGCCCUUCAGAGGGGGACAACAGUUGGAAACGACUGCUAAUACCGCAUAAUGUAUUCGGAAGGCAUCUUCUGGAUACCAAAGGAGAAAUCCGCUGAAGGAUGGGCUCACGUCUGAUUAGUUAGUUGGUGAGGUAACGGCUCACCAAGACUGCGAUCAGUAGCCGGACUGAGAGGUUGAACGGCCACAUUGGGACUGAGAUACGGCCCAGACUCCUACGGGAGGCAGCAGUGGGGAAUAUUGGGCAAUGGGCGAAAGCCUGACCCAGCAACGCCGCGUGAAGGAAGAAGGCCUUCGGGUUGUAAACUUCUUUUAAGAGGGACGAAGAAGUGACGGUACCUCUUGAAUAAGCCACGGCUAACUACGUGCCAGCAGCCGCGGUAAAAC